rnacentral:lncRNA from 1 species
CUAAACGUAAAGAGGAAAAUAAUGGUGCAACAUUUUUUCCAAUAUAUAUUGCAAUUAAUCCAAUAAACUCCAGCCACUCCAUUACUCCUCUAGCACUCAAAUUUACCCUCACCUGUUGUUUUUAUGAGCUAAAAACUUCCUUAUUUUAGGGGUAUUUAUGUCAUUCUAAUCAUAUUAUGAAAAAUGAUAAGUGGAAGUCUUUUUUUUUAGUUUUUUUGAUUCCCAAGAUUAUUUUAUUACCAAUAAUUUAUGUUUUAAAAAAAAAAAAAGGAUAGAUGAGCUCUUUUUCUUGUUAUACUUUCUUGUUUUUCUGGUUGUUCUCUUACACUUCACAGUCAUCAUAUCUUUGGGAUUUGAUCUGAAGAAUAUUAGUGGCUUCUAAAAUUUUGCUGGAUAAAAUUUUCAGUUUCCGGUAAAACAAUAACAAGAAAUUAAACAAAACCCAAUUCUCAUAAUACACAAAUCAUUUAUCUUCCAUUUUCAAGAUUCAUCCUUUAUCCUACAAUUUGUGUAUAUAACAGUUGACCACACUGUAAAUUCUCAUUUUGACUCCAUUCCCUUAUCCGCAAAUGGGUAUGAAUUACUUUUGUGCCUUCUUAUCCUAUUGAAUUUUGUUCUUGUACAGUUAGGGUUUAUUUGAAUUCUGUUUCUUAUUGAAUCUUGUGGUUGUUUUGUGAAUAUUAUUUUCAAAUAAUCAAUUGGGGCUUGUUCUUUAUUAGGUUUGGUUGAUAUUUGUGGUAGAGUAAGAAGGUGUAGUGUUUAAGUGAUGGUGGUGGUAUCUGGGACUGGAGACCCUGUUGAGUCAUUUCUGAAUUCAGUACAAUUUGUUAAGAAUGC